GAGACAAACAGACCCAGAGUACAAUUGGAUCAAAAAACUGGUUAUCUUACAAUUAAUGACAUCAGACCCAUAGAUUUUGGAAUUUAUAAACUAAAUAUCUCCAGGAAUGGAAGAAAUAUGAUUUCCAAGUCAUUUAUCAUCCGAGAUUCCACAGAAAAUGGAGAGAACGUCCCACAGGAGACAGUAACAUUGAUGAAUGGAGAGAUUAUGGCAGACACUUGUCUAUAGUGACUGUUACAUUUAAAUAAAACUUUUCUGCUUUUAUGAGCUUUUAAAACUGAAAAAAAUGUCUAAAAUGAAUACUGCAUGCCAUUUGCCUGUGAAAAGUAACAUGACAGAGGGUUUCUUUUUUUUUCUUUUUUUUCUGGUUAUUUUUUCAGUCUGGAGAUGGUUGUUUAGGGGUAUAAAGUGAAGUACAAGUUAAGGUGUGGAAACAAAUGUUUUCUGUGUGUGAGGACUUGUUAAACUUUGUUGAUGAGUCAGGAGUGAUAAGCUUAUUUAUUGUCCGCAGGGAAAACGAAAAAUAAUACCAGAACGGAGGUUGUGAUUGAGGCAUGUGCCCGUGUUCGGCCUGAUAGAAAGGAUUAUGUGGGCUUGGUAGAACCAUGUCAAGAUGAUGUAUUGCCAGGCCAGUUAUUGGUAGCCCGAUCAUUGGGCGCAGUUUCAAAUGGUAGUUAUGGUCAGAAUCUUAAACCUUUCUCCAGUUCCGGUGACGCUUUUUCAGUGUUGUCGGUUAGGUCAGAUUUCUGAUUUUGAGUUGUGUCCAUCAGGGUUGCAGGGAAAUGUAGAAUUAAGACCAUUGGAUAAUGAGACUGUGGAGGUGGGGGUGUGCCCGUGUUCAAAAAAGCAUGCAGGAUGCAAGACAAGAACACUUGCCAUGGCCUGUGGCCGUUUCUUUAGAUCCACUGCAGUUUAGCUCCAAACAACAAGAAAUGAUUUCUGAUUUGUUAUCGAUGCACCAGAAGGUUUUCUCAGAACAUGAUGAAUAUUAUGGACAUACUGAUAGGGUUUUACAUGUAAUACCAACAGUUGAUGCAGCCCCAAUUAGAGAUCAUUAUAAUAGGAUUCCACCAAAAUUGUAUCAAGUAGUAAGGGGACUUUUAAAUAAUAUGCUUUAAAAUGGUUUUGUUAAGGAGAGCUAUAGUGGGCAGCACCUGUGGUGCUUGUCAGAAAGAAGGACAGCACCCUUCGAUUCCGAGUAGACUACAGGUGGCUGAACAGUGUUUUAGUCAUAAAGAUUCAUAUCCUUUGCUUAGAAAUGAGGAGUCAUUGGCUUCAUUGAGAAAAUCUAGAGUGUUUUCAAUGUUAGAUCUAGCAAAUGGGUAUUGGCAGAAUGGGGGUGCUCCCAGCUGACAAAGAGAAGACCGCUUUUGUGAAGCGGAUGGGGCUUUAUGAAUUUAAUCAGAUGCCGAUGGGGUUAUGCAAUGCCCCAGGAACUUUUCAGCGACUGGUCGAAAGUUGCCUGAGGAAUCAAAAUUUUGAAACAUUAUUGUUGUAUUUGGAUGAUAUCAUUGUUUUUUCCCCCACCCUUGAGGCCUGUAUUGCCCAUCUAGAUUUGGUCUUCAGCCAUCUAGUGGACUUUGGUCUAAAGGUCAAACUCAGUAAGUGUUCCCUUUUCCAGAGUUAAGUUUAUUAUUUGAGCCAUGUGAUUGCAGAAGGAGGGGUGUCACCAGACCCAGAGAAUUGCGGGUAGUGGAGGCCUGGGUAACCCCUCAAAAUAUUACUCAAUUGCAUACUUUUUUUGGCCUAGCAGGGUAUUAUAGACGUUUUAUUGAAGACUUUGCCCAGAUUGCAGCACCACUGAAUGCAAUGUUGUGGGGGACAUCAAAGCGACGUACUCGACCAGCCACAGGAAAAAUAGAUGGGUGGGCAUGGGGAAUGGCACAGUACAUUGCUUUUAAGAAACGGAAGGAGAGUCUCCUACAAGCACCCAUAUUGGCAUAUGCUGAUUUUGAAUUGCCAUUUUUGUUGUACACUGCCAGCCAGACAGGGUUGGGAGCAGUAUUGGCCCAGGUCCAAGAGGGGAAGGAGAGAGUAAUUUCCUAUGCAAGUAGAAGUCUCCGUCCAAUAGAAAGGAAUGAUAAAAAUUACAGCUCAUUCAAACUGGAACUUCUGGCUUUAGCUAUAGAAUCUUGUUUCACAGACUGAGUAUUUGAGGCGGUCUAUGCGGGCCACAAAGGGCCUGUUGCCUCUACGUUAUAGGAUGUGAGGUAUUUGGGAAUGUGUGGACACAUUUUGAGUAGGGGGGUGGAUGUAAGCCCUUCUCUUUAGGCAAGGGGAGGGGCAACAGGGGUUGCGCCCGUAGUAUCUGCCUUACGUCUCAUUAGGGGAAAGAGACAAACACCUGUGCUGCAUUUCUAAUGGAAUCAAUAAAGGUAUGAGGUCUGUUGUUGUUUGGGGGGAUUUUGUAUGCGAGUGCUGCUGAGCUUCUUGCCGAGGCUACCUUGCCGGGACGUGGGUUGGAUGUUUCUCUGCGACGCGUGCAAAGCGAUUGGGAGGGAUAGUUUGUAGCUUUUGGUUUCCCUAAAUAAAUUUUGGCCGCCAGCGGUUGUUUUCCCGAAUGCUGUACCCCAUGUCCGGAAGCGGGUAAGAGGGCCAGCAGCCCAUUAUCUGCCUUUAUGGUUUAUUAAAUUGUGUGUAGGCCUAUAUAUGAAGUGUCUUAUUCACUGGGGAGUCCUGGUUUAAUGUGAUUAACUAAUUGUUACCAGCCAUAGGGGUUUUGGCACAUAUUAAGUGGCCUUUCGGUGUGUAUUGAAGUGUGUGAUUUAACUGAUGCACAUAUGGAUUUUGAUACCGUUGGUGUUUGCUGUGUAAUGAAAUUGUGUAUAACUGGUGGCACAUGAAAUAAUUUUUAGGUGUUGAAACCCUCUGCUGAAUACCUUUCUGCUCGUUGAUUGCUUACUUAUUCUAGGUAACUUUUGAUUGGUCAAAUACACUAUUAAUUAUAUGUGGCACCCGUCUUAACCUGCUGCUUUGCCCUUUUGAGGUUUUAAUAUGAUUUGUAGUAUUGUAUAGGAAUAAAAGGCAUAUUUGUAUUUAU